UGCUCUUUAUCUAUGCACUAGGAUCCAUUCUUGCAUUCUUCUUGGGGAUCACUAUGCCACUUGCAGGUAUUCUUCUGCAUGCAGCAACUCGGAAGCGAAACAUGAACACUGGCAGGAUUGCGAACAUACUCGACAUGUUAACUACGCAAGACGUCACCCCGAUGACUAUCAUUCUGGCAAAGAUAUGCACCACUGAGAACGAGCAACAAGAAAGUGGCAUCCAUUGGAACUCAGAAAAUACUGGAAAUUAAAGUAGUUCGGGCCCAAAAACAGCAGACAGUAAUCGGAGAAAUAAACGACAUGGAACGUUCAAUAAUUUGAUUUUCAACAAUGUUGCAAUAACAGCAGGAGCUUCCAUUGCCUUUGGUGGUCGGCACAAAGAGUUGUCAUCAAUUCGUUAUCAGCCUAACAGGACACUUGAGAUGUACAUGGUACAUAUAGUUUUAUAUUUUUUAUAUUCAAUACUGGCUUCUUUUGUAGACAAUAUAGUUUUCACAGAGAAGAGUAUGAUUAUUGUAAUUUAAAAUCGUAUGAAACAGUUAAAAGUAAUUCGUAGAUGUCUAAAAUAAAAUUGAAAUGCUGGGCUCCCCAGACAGGACUGCUGGUCAAGAAAGAGUGAUAAAAAAAAUAAUCUAUUUUUCAAGGUUGGAAUAUUUCAGUAUCCUAGAUUCCUUGUCAGACAGGGAAUUUAAUUUUAAGAGUACGCGGGCUAGCUACAGGUUUUAAUAAUGAGAUUGUCACGUGUUAAAAGAACAGUCCUGUUACACUCAAUAAAAAUUGUUUUAUAGUCAGUGAAAA